AGUGAACGCUGGCGGUAGGCCUAACACAUGCGAGCCGAACGGCAGCACAGUAAGAGCUUGCUCUUACGGGUGGCGAGUGGCGGACGGGUGAGGAAUACAUCGGAAUCUACUUUUUCGUGGGGGAUAACGUAGGGAAACUUACGCUAAUACCGCAUACGACCUACGGGUGAAAGCAGGGGAUCUUCGGACCUUGCGCGAUUGAAUGAGCCGAUGUCGGAUUAGCUAGUUGGCGGGGUAAAGGCCCACCAAGGCGACGAUCCGUAGCUGGUCUGAGAGGAUGAUCAGCCACACUGGAACUGAGACACGGUCCAGACUCCUACGGGAGGCAGCAGUGGGGAAUAUUGGACAAUGGGCGCAAGCCUGAUCCAGCCAUACCGCGUGGGUGAAGAAGGCCUUCGGGUUGUAAAGCCCUUUUGUUGGGAAAGAAAAGCAGCAGGUUAAUACCCCGCUGUUCUGACGGUACCCAAAGAAUAAGCACCGGCUAACUUCGUG
rnacentral:rRNA from 1 species